UACGGGGGGAGCAAGCGUUGUUCGGAAUUACUGGGCGUAAAGGGUGCGUAGGCGGGUCUUUAAGUCAGGGGUGAAAUCCUGGAGCUCAACUCCAGAACUGCCUUUGAUACUGAGGAUCUUGAGUUCGGGAGAGGUGAGUGGAACUGCGAGUGUAGAGGUGAAAUUCGUAGAUAUUCGCAAGAACACCAGUGGCGAAGGCGGCUCACUGGCCCGAUACUGACGCUGAGGCACGAAAGCGUGGGGAGCAAACAGG
rnacentral:rRNA from 1 species